GAAGACAUGAAUGCUGGGUUAUUUAAUCUACCCAACCGCUGGGUUAUGAAAUGCUUUACCCAUUAUGGGUUAUUUAUAUGGAAUUUGGGUUAUUUUGUGCAACUCAUGCGUUGAGUCAAAAUCCAUCAACCCAACUUAUAUCGGUUGACCCAGCACGUGGGUUGUUUGUGCUUCGAACCUCAUCAUCACAUCAUCACCAGAGUCCACACACCGAGCGCUCGUCACAGCAGAGAACCUGACUGAUCAUCCAGCGAGGCGAAUACAUAAUAAAAGAUCAAUGGACAGCUUUGUCAUUAACACUGACAGACCUUGUCGAAAGAUUUAAAGAGGAGGGGAUUGAUGAAGAGAGUUUUCUUUUAGAUGAGGCUACCAUCAACCAGUUGAUCCUAAAACAGGAGGGGAAGCUGAUAUUGCCCCUGGAUGGAUUAACACCAGAUGGUGUUGGUGAACUUGCCCUGAGGAAGUUGCCAGCCUUGCUUCCACCUACAACUUACAAAGGUGUGAAAGUAGUUCGCCACAUCAUUCAGGAAUGCGGCUUGGCCUUCAUCGACCAUAAGCCUCCUGGAAUAAACAUGGUGGAGUACCUUCAUGAGGCCAAGGCAUGCAAGCCUUGCCCCCACAUCCUGACGCUGGGAAAUGAUCAGAGUGCAUUUCAGGCCUUCGUAAUAAUAGCUGGACAGGCCCUGGAACAAGAAACACUGCUUUGGGCCACUGAUGUCUGCUUCAAGGCAUUCUUUGUCUUUGACAUUGAAUACCCAAAGCAGUGUGAACAUGUGUGGGAAUUCAUACAGAAUGUGAUAUAUGAAAUCCCAGGGGGGAAGUCUAAAAUGGUUAAGUUUAUUCAAACUAGAAUACUUGCUUGCAAGUAGAUAUAAUGGCUCUUAAAAACAGCAUUUAGGAAUUUGAAUUUUUUCACUAUAGAGCUGCUGACUGUUGGCCUGUUGAAUGUUCAGCCAGUUCAAUCGAAAUUGUUUUGCUCUGCAUGUUUUCCAACCUGAGUGAACUGCACCAGUUCCACUGUAUUGUCGAUAUUAAUGUAAUAAAUUUUUUCAAAGAUUCCAUUGUUUUGUUCUUGUAUUGUUUAAGUGUUUAUUGCAUAAUAUAUGCAUAAAUCUAGCAUGUAUUCUGUUCUAGGUUUGUAGUUUCACAGUUUUAUAUGGGUAGUCUAUUGCAAUUUAUUUUCUUAAAUUGUAGUGUAAUGUGUUAGACUUAAUCUGGCAUAUGGGUUAAUUUUACCCAUCUUAAUAUGUAGUUGAAUCAACCCAGAAUUGUAACUAAUUUGACCCAGCAUUUGGGUACACUAUUUAACAAAUAUGUAGUUAAAUAAACCCAUAAUUGUAUUUAAUUUGACCCAGAAUUUGGGUAGAAUAUUUAACUCAUCUGUUGGGUUAAAAAUGACCAACCCAUCUUGCUGGGUCAAAUUAACUACUGUUGGUCUGGUGCAAUAUUGAUCCAGAGGUUGGGUUAUAAAACAACCCAAGUUGGGUUAUUUUUAACCCAUCAUUUUUC